CAGUACAGUGAUUGAAUGAACCUGCGGCGCACACGCAGCUGAUGCUUUGGGAUCUCACUUGCAGCCUGCCGUGGAGCCGGGUCCUGCUGCUGUGCACCCUUCCCGGAGGGUGCUCCCACCGCCGCAGCCCCCAGAAGGCGGCCAGGCGCUCACGCUGCUGACCGGGGCUCCCCAUGUAGCAGAGGAGAUGCGAGGCCAAGCCAGAGCUCAGCAGAGGAGUUUCUUGAUGCCUGAUUGCAGCCGACAGCUUGGGAGAUGGAGGGAGAAGGAGGCAGAAAAUACCGAAAGGACCAGAAAUUAGGAAGGAGCUGAA